AUAUCAAUAAGCGGAGGAAAAGAAACCAACAGGGAUUGCCUUAGUAACGGCGAGUGAAGCGGCAACAGCUCAAAUUUGAAAUCUGGCUCCUUUGGUGCCCGAGUUGUAAUUUGUAGAGGAUGCUUCUGGGCAGCGGCCGGUCUAAGUUCCUUGGAACAGGACGUCACAGAGGGUGAGAAUCCCGUAUGCGACCGGCUAGCAC
rnacentral:rRNA from 1 species